CUCAAAUCUCCUCUUCAAACAAGGGUUGGUGGUGGGUGCUUGGGACCAGCUGUGCCGCUGCUCUGACUGCUGGGGCAGCUGUAAUGAAACAGAAACCCCAACCCAACCAUACAUACACCCUCUCUUAAAAAAAAAAAAAAAAACAAAAAAAAAAACCCACAAUCAUUUUUAAGAAAUUUUGUUAGAAAUGAGAAUUCUCUGAAAUUAUGUCAAAGCUUGCUGAAGCCUGCGCAUAUAUCUUUGAUUUUGGGGCAGUUGCAGACUGCCAAAGCUCACAGUGUUUUCUUCACUUUCCAGCCAAACUAAACAAGGGAACGGCAGACUGCUUAUUUUUCAGGGAGAACUGGAAAAACGGGGACCUGAAGACUAGACUAAUGAUGGCUACAUUUUUUAAAACAAGAACAGUCUCUUUGGUCUGUGAUCUUGGCAUAUGCAUCAAAGCUGCUGUUGGCAUUUUCCAGAACAACAGGAUUUUACUCAUGUACUAAAUGAGGGCUGUGGAGCAGCAGAUACGCUUGCCCAGAUGAGGCGAUGGCUGUCAGCUGAGCCAGCUGAGAUGGGAGCACUGCUUAAGUGAGGGCUGCUCCUCAUCCUGCGGCAGCUGGCCAGCACCUUUUGCGUGAAGGACUUGGUCCUGAACCAAGGGCUUGCGAAAGACGUGCGGAAGUGGUGAGCUGAAAGGAGGAGGUGAGCACCAGGACUUAGCUACUUUUGAACGACUGCAUCUUCUGCAUGCUUUGAGCCUUGUCCUGAGGUCUGAAAGUAUUUCUUGCCUCCCCUUGGUCUGUCUCUGAAGGUUUAAAUGAAUAAGCACAGAGAGCUUCAGUAUAGGCACUCAGAGUGUAUAAAAGCAACCUGCAUGGUAUGGAGGCGGUGCCAGAUGCUG
rnacentral:lncRNA from 1 species